ensembl:snoRNA
AAGAACUAGAAAAAAUGACACAGGAAUUUAAGAGGCUUACACAGAAGGGCAAAGGAAACUUCCAUGGAACCCACAGAAGAGAUUUAAAAUCUCUCUUUGGAUCCUGUCUGGAGUUACAGUU